rnacentral:rRNA from 1 species
UACAGAGGUCUCAAGCGUUGUUCGGAUUCAUUGGGCGUAAAGGGCGCGUAGGCGGCGAGGUAAGUCGGGGUGUGAAAUCUCAGAGCUCAACUCUGAAACUGCACUCGAUACUGCUUUGCUAGAGGACUGGAGAGGAGAUUGGAAUUCACGGUGUAGCAGUGAAAUGCGUAGAGAUCGUGAGGAAGACCAGUGGCGAAGGCGGAUCUCUGGACAGUUCCUGACGCUGAGGCGCGAAGGCCAGGGGGAGGCAAAACGGGG